rnacentral:rRNA from 1 species
CCCUUAGAUGUCCUGGGCCGCACGCGCGCUACACUGAUGCAUUCAACGAGUAUUUCCUUGGCCGAGAGGCCUGGGCAAUCUUUUAAACCUGCAUCGUGAUAGGGAUAGAUUAUUGCAAUUAUUAAUCUUGAACGAGGAAUUCCUAGUAAACGCAAAUCAUCAAUUUGCAUUGAUUACGUCCCUGCCCUUUGUACACACCGCCCGUCGCACCUACCGAUUGAAUGGUCCGGUGAAAUCUCGGGAUUGUGGCCAGUUCACCUUAUUGGGAGUUGGCUGCGAGAACUUGCUUAAACCUUAUCAUUUAGAGGAAGGUGAAGUCGUAACA